GUCGUAACAAGGUUUCCGUAGGUGAACCUGCGGAAGAAUCAUUA
rnacentral:rRNA from 1 species